rnacentral:lncRNA from 1 species
AACACUUAUUCCUAGUUCCUACCACAAAUGCAUGGAAGUAUCUUUACACACAUUAUAUACGAUCCUACCACAGUAAUGAAAUAUGUUAGCUGAAGUCAGAAGUUCAAAACUGUGAUUGCUGAAACCAAAACACGCAUAAAUAUCUCAUACAAAUAAUUUAAUGAUCAAUAUUUAUCUGCCAGCAAGAAUGGUGUCAGCCCACUGAUUGAAAAAAACACAAUGGAGACAUUUUACAUGAGCCUUAAUUUCCAGCAAAGAAUGAAAGAAGGAAAAUGAUCAGAAGUUGUUGGUUUAAUGUCACCCUUGUAUAAGUAAUAUCACUUCUGUUGUCUGUCCUGCAAAGCAUUUACUGAUCAAGCACCAAACGAUUGUGAUCAAUGAGCAGAUGAUAAUGUUAGUCAGUUACUUGGAACCGAAACUUAUUCAU